GUGGGGAAUAUUGCACAAUGGGGGAAACCCUGAUGCAGCGACGCCGCGUGGAGGAAGAAGGUCUUCGGAUUGUAAACUCCUGUUGUUGAGGAAGAUAAUGACGGUACUCAACAAGGAAGUGACGGCUAACUACGUGCCAGCAGCCGCGGUAAAACGUAGGUCACAAGCGUUGUCCGGAAUUACUGGGUGUAAAGGGAGCGCAGGCGGGAGAACAAGUUGGAAGUGAAAUCCAUGGGCUAAACCCAUGAACUGCUUUCAAAACUGUUUUUCUUGAGUAGUGCAGAGGUAGGCGGAAUUCCCGGUGUAGCGGUGGAAUGCGUAGAUAUCGGGAGGAACACCAGUGGCGAAGGCGGCCUACUGGGCACCAACUGACGCUGAGGCUCGAAAGUGUGGGUAGCAAACAGGAUUAGAUACCCGUGUAGUCC
rnacentral:rRNA from 1 species